AGGGGGAAAACAAUUGGAAACAGAUGCUAAUACCGCAGAACAACGUUGUUCGCAUGAACGACGCUUAAUAAAUGGCUUCUCGCUAUCACUUCUGGAUGGACCUGCGGUGCAUUAGCUUGUUGGUGGGGUAACGGCCUACCAAGGCGAUGAUGCAUAGCCCAAUUGAGAGACUGAUCGGCCACAAUGGGACUGAGACACGGCCCAUACUCCUACGGGAGGCAGCAGUAGGGAAUCUUCCACAAUGGGCGCAAGCCUGAUGGAGCAACACCGCGUGAGUGAAGAAGGGUUUCGGCUCGUAAAGCUCUGUUGUUAAAGAAGAACACGUAUGAAAGUAACUGUUCAUACCUUGACGGUAUUUAACCAGAAAGUCACGGCUAACUACGUGCCAGCAGCCGCGGUAAUACGUAGGUGGCAAGCGUUAUCCGGAUUUAUUGGGCGUAAAGAGAGUGCAGGCGGUUUUCUAAGUCUGAUGUGAAAGCCUUCGGCUUAACCGGAGAAGUGCAUCGGAAACUGGAUAACUUGAGUGCAGAAGAGGGUAGUGGAACUCCAUGUGUAGCGGUGGAAUGCGUAGAUAUAUGGAAGAACACCAGUGGCGAAGCGGCUACCUGGUCUGCAACUGACGCUGAGACUCGAAAGCAUGGGUAGCGAACAGGAUUAGAUACCCUGGUAGUCCAUGCCGUAAACGAUGAGUGCUAGGUGUUGGAGGGUUUCCGCCUUCAGUGCCGGAGCUAACGCAUAAGACUCCGCCUGGGGAGUACGACACCACGUGAAACUCAAAGAACUAGACGGGGCCGCACAACGGUGCAGCAUGUGGUUUAUCAACUACGCAAUACUACAC
rnacentral:rRNA from 2 species